rnacentral:lncRNA from 1 species
UCUAUUUUUUCCUCUCGAAAUCAAGGCUCAUGCUUAAAAGCUUAUUCACUCAUAUGCAUAUGUGAGAGAAGAUAUAUAAAGGCAAACAAAUAGCUCACAUAUUACGAAAGAAAAACACUUUGUGAAAAAGAAAGAUCUCAUGAAGGAUAUCAAUUACUUGCACAAAUAGACCCAAACCAUAUGCUCACUCUUGUAACACAUCUCCACAGAUCAAAGGCUGCUUAUCUUAAGGAUCAUAAAAGAACUUUACAAGGUUAUAAUCGGGCCAUGGCUAAGGUUUAAAGAACAAAAGGAUAUGUAAAUAACAAAGCAUCCUCAAAACCUAGUAGAGCCAUAAGAUCACCUUAGAACACUCAUGAAAAAUGACAAAGACCAUAUAUAACAUUAUUGGGUCUUCAAUUUAAAACAAACUCCUCAAUCACAAUGGGGGACUUAAUCCACUACUUCAUUUUUUUCUCUUGCCGUCGCAUUUGUAUAAUUUCUCUUUUUUUUUCUUUUUUUCUUCAUACGGCAACACACUUUUUUUUCUUCUUUUCUUCUCUUUUUUUUUUAUUCUGGACACCCCCACACUUGCUUUUGACCAUCACCUCCUCUUUUAAAUAAGUACAAAUCCCCAAAGUAUAGCUCUACUAGAUCUUAGAACAAAGGUAAGGAUUCAACUAUACUAAAGCUCAAAGGAAAUGAUAAUAUGAGUGAUGAAAGAAAAGGCUAAACUUGUAAGCUCAAAGGGGUUAUCUAAGGGGUGUAUAAUUAGGGACACAUGGCAAUUUGGCAAUGGUGAAAAUCCUAAGUCCACUACCAGAAGAAAGGCUUUAGCCGAAGAAAAUAAAAAAAUCAGCUCGACGAAUUUUUUUUUCGUCGGCUAAAGUCCACUUUAGCCGACGAAUUUUUUUUCGUCGGCUAAUUUAAAAUUUUCUUCGGCUAUGGUCAACUUUAGCCGACGAAAUUAAUAUUUCGUCGGCUGAAUAAUUUUUUUCGUCGGCUAUAGUCUGUGAACUUUAGCCGACGAAAUUUUAAAAGUUUAGCCGACGAAAUUUUUUAAAAGUUUAGCCGACGAAAUUUUUUAAACUUUAGCCGACGAAAUUUUUAAAAUGUUAGCCGACGAAAAAAUAUAAUUUCAUCGGCUAAAGUGCCUUAUAUUUGCAGAUCUAGACAACAACUCAUCUGAGAAAAAAAAACUAUACGUAGAUCUUUCAAACGCAAAAAAGUCGUGAAAUAAGAUAUGACCAGAAUGGUGAAAUACGUCUACGGUUGAAAAAUCACAGUAUUCCGGUAAAGUCUCGGUGCCGAUAGUUGACUUACCCUUAUUAUUCACUAUGCUGCAGAUUUGGCAUUUGGUGUCUGAUUGACUAUUGUGAUACCUUUCCGGAAGCGUAACGGCGCUACGAGUCAAACUCAUCGCUUAUGCCAUGAUGAAUAGGCUUUUUUGGCCAUCCGAGUCCGUUUAGGGCUUCAAAAUGUAGUUUUCUUAUUUUCGAUUAGAGUUGACCGUUUCGAUCGAGCCCUUAACGUUGUCGAAUCCAGUUGAAUUUUUUAUCAUAGACAUCUUUCAUCAUAAUGAUCAUAUAUGACAGUCGAAUUUUGGUUUGUGAAUUUUAGUCAUCGGAAUCACAACGUGUCUACUAUUUACCGUUAUUCGGGUUUAUGGGGAGCCCUAUCGUCGGAAGGUAAAUGUCUCAAAAUUUUUAUAUGGGCAGUUGCGUCUCAUCUACGUGAGAGUUUUUUGUGUGGAAGGUUUGACCAAACUACGUAAUAUAGAGGGAGAUAUGAGCGUUUUCGUGUGAUAAGUGACGAUGGAUUAUGGUUGACCGUUUCGAUCGAGCCCUUAACUUUGUCGGAUCCAGUUGAAUUUUUUACCAUAGACAUAUUUCAUCAUAAUGAUCAUAUCUGACGGUCGAAUUUUGGUUUGUGAAUUUCAGUCAUCGGAAUCACAACGUGUCUACUAAUGUUGUAUAACUUGUUUAGUAGGUUAUACAACUUUGUGAACCAACUCUACAUAGGAAGCAAAAUUAUUAAAAAUCAUGUGAAAUAAGAUGUGUUCAGAAUGGUGAAAUACGGCUAUGGUUCAAAAAUCAUGUAAAUCGGGUAAAGUCUCGGUGCCGAUAGUAGCGGUCAACCCUAUUUACCGUUAUUAUUCCUUAUGGGGAGCCCUAUCGUCGGAAGGUAAAUGUCUCAAAAUUUUUAUAUAGACGGUUGCGUCUCAUCUACGUGAGAGUUUUUCGUGUGGAAGAUUUGACCAAACUACGCAAUAUAGGGCGAGAUAUGAGCGUUUUCGUGAAUUUAUAGACUUUAGCCGACGAAAAUAUAUGAAAAGUCGUCGGCUAAGGUAAAAAAAUUUCAAAAUUUUUUGGGUGGUAAACCAAAGUUGGAGGAAAAUUUUCAAAGGACUUUAGCUGACGAAAAUAUAUGAAAAGUCGUCGGCUAAAGUCGAAAAAUUUUCAAAAUUUUCAACCAAAAUUUUUUGGCGGUCAACCAAAAUUUUCAAAAGAGUUUAGCCGACGAAAAUAAAGAAUUUCGUCGGCUAAAGUUCUUUAUAUAGGCGAAGAUAGAUGGUAAGAAGUCUAUUAUCUGCCAGAUUUUCUUCUCGGCCUAGCUCCGCCGUCAAGCCACCGGAGACCGCCACACUUGUCCCAAAAGCUUCGCCGUCGUCUCUACUUCAUUGCUGGAUAGGUGGUGCAUCGAGUGGCGCCGCCGUGAGGGAAAAAUCGAGCUCCAAAACUCCGCCGGUUCGGAUUCGGUGUCGAUCGAAUUUCUCCUUCCUUAGGUCACCAUUUGGUGAGUUCUAUAUAUGGAUAAGUUGAGUUUGAUUAGUACUACAUUCCCCUAGAAUUUGGUAGCUCGAUUCGGUGUGUGUGAAGAGAAUCGAAGAUUUGAAGUUUUUAGGGUUUAAAAUUGGGGAUUUUUAUAUUUUCAGUCGAUUGACCUGUUUAGGUUUAGAAUUAAGCUUCGACUUCUUCNNNN